CCCACCACAUAUGAUAGAAAGUACCUUCUUUUUCUUUACAUUUCCAACACUUAUUGCAUGUUUUAUACAUUUUGGCCAGUUUAACUGGCGUUAUAUACCAUCUGUAAAACAUCACACUUAAACUUAUAAGUAUUGUUUAGGCACCUACUUAGGAGAAACAUCAGCCAUGUCAAAGGUGCCGCUGACCCCGCUGCCUCAUAGCAGCUCAAUACAAUACGUAACAUAAAAUUUUGAUGUAAGAGUUAAUUUCGCGUGCACGGCGCCGCUGUGAAUGACAAGCAACGUCAUUGAGUCUGACAAGCGCCACCGUUGUGAAUGACAAGCGCCACUGCUGGUGCAGUGCGUCUUUGGUAAAUGAACGCACAAAGUCGAAAGUCCUUUAGUGAAACAGUAGGUAUACAUUUUGGUAAUAGCUAGGUAUAUGUGUACAGUGGUACCUCGGGAUGCGAACACAAUCUGUUCCGGAGCCCCAUUCGCAUACUGAAUAGAACGUAAGAUGCGACUGCGCAUGCGCAGGUCACGUUUUGCCGCUUCCGCGCAUGCGUGUGACGUCAUUUUGAGCAUCUGCGCAUGCGCAAGCAGCAAAACCCGAAAGUAAUGUGCUCUGUUACUUCUGGGUUGCCGUGGAGCGCAACCCGAAAGCGCUCAACCUGAAGCAUAUUCAACCCGAGGUAUGACUGUAUUUUGUUUUUCUAGCUUGAUCAAAAUUAUUUAUAAUUUCACAACAGGUAGAUAGUUAAGAGCUUAGGCAGCUUCAGCGGCAGGUGCCUGGCUCCCCCCAGAAUUCGGCGCCUGGGUGCCCCACACCCCUUGCACCCUCGGGUGAAGAUGGCCCUUUGGACAAGAUUAAAUGUUCAUGUAACUCCCCCCAAAAAAACCCACAAUGGGUAGGAAGAAGCUAUUUUGUUUCUUGGGGCCAUUUCUGACUUCAUCAAUUGUUGAGGCAAAUUGGAUUAUCCAGGAGACAGAGGAGGAGAGGAUGAGGCAAGGGGAAGGCGGAGUGAUGGAAAACAGCCUCUCAUCUCGGCCUUGGGAAAGGUGGCCUCCAUGGACUUCUUCAUUAGCUGCUAAGGAGAGCGGUCUGCUGGCCCGAGAGCCUCUUCCGAGGAUGCCAGGAUCGGUUUGCAUGAAGAACAACAGACGGCAGCGGUGGGGAAGAGUGGCUAUUAAAGAGCCGCAAAAUUUAAUUGAGAGCCUCGCUCAGGGCCUUUUAAUUUCCCAAGCUCCUGGUUGGACUUCAGCGGCUGGGCUUGAUUUCGCUGUUCACCAAAGUUGUCUCUGAAAGCUCUGGCUCUAAACACAUUCCUCCUGAGUAAGCCUCACUGAGCACCAUGGGACUUGCUUCCCAGUAAAUGUGCACAUUAAGUAUGAGCUGCACUUCUGUGCUAAAAAAAAAAAAGGGAAAUCAAGGUAAAUCUGAAUAUCACAAGUCAAACAGCACUGAGGCUCAACUCUUGCAGCAAGACCACCCUGAUUAAAGAGUAAAGGAGACACACGGCAGCUCAGUGGUAGAACACAUGGAGAAGGUCCUGGGUUCUAAUUUUGGCAUCUCCAGUUAAAUAGGAUCAAGUAGCAUUGGAAAAGUCAGCUGUGAGAGACCAUGGAGAGCUACUGCCAAUUAAAGCAGACGGUACUGUAGUACUUGGUCAAAUAGGCUGAACUGGUUAUAAGGCAAUUUCUUACUUCAAAGGUCCCCGGGUACUGAAACAGAAACCAUUUAGGGGUGAGAUAUUUGGGGAGUAACCACACUAAUGGCAUGUUUGGAGGGGAGUGAUAGACCUGUGACAGAUCAUGAGGUAACUAUGUCCCUUUUUGAUCAGAUGAGUACAAGAGCCAGGACUACUUUUUGAGAAGCCAUUGGAGGACAUUGGUAAAAAAAGAAAAACCUUUUAACCAGCUUCAUGUUGUACAGACUCCAUUCCUUUCUCUGUCUUAUUAUUUUUUUAAAAAUUAAAUUUUCCAACAAAAGUAGCAAAGAAAACCAGAAAAAUAAAUAAAUAAAUACACAAUAACAAAUACAACAUAGAAAAAAAUACACAAAAACAAUAUCAAAUCCAUAAAAUGGGAUUCUUUGAAUCCCGUGACUUCCCUCCCCACCCCAUUCCUUAAGUUUUCUUUUCAACUGCAUAUUAUUUCUACUCCAAAAUAUUUUUAACCUCAAAUUUCCUGUACUAUCUCUUAAGAUUACAAGUGUUCUUAAAAUUCUACCAGUGUAUUAACCUGUUCGCAGUACUUUUGUAAAUACAUAAUAAACAUUUUCCAUUCUUUUUUUAAAAAAAUGUCAUCUUGAUUUCUGAGCUUUCCAGUUAGUUUCGCCCUUUCAGCAUAGUCCAUUAACUUGGUUUGCCAGUCUUCUUUGGUCGGGACUAAUAGUAUUUAGUCUUUGGGCUAAUAGUACAUGAGCCAUUCCCUUCUCAGACAGGUGCUCUUAUUUAUUAAGAAACAUUCUCCACGGCUUUAUAAUUAAAAAGAUAUAUUCUAACCUCCAGGCUUGCCUACCAUAAUGUGCUUCAUGUAGGACUACCCUUGAACAGAACUCAGAGCAAAACGCAGCUGCCCACAUUUUUGGCAGAUGUAUACAGGAUGCGCUGCUGUCCCUUUUGCACUGGCUGCCUCUAUGUUUCCAAGCCUAAUUCUAGGUCUUGUUUUGACAUCUAAAGACAUGAUGCUCCACUAGGGCUGCCGUACGUCCGGAUUUUCCUGGGCAUUAAUGGGAUUUCAAAGGCAGAAUUGAAGCCCCGGGGAAAUUUCCGAAAGGCAGCGUUUUGUCCUGGAUCUUUGGGGUUUGUCUAAAAAAAAGCUCAACAAUUAAAAAGCUCAAUAACUUUCUGGGUGUCCUGGUUUUUACUUUUUGAAAUAUGGCAACCCUAGACCCCACAAACCUAAGAAACUGCCUCUCUCCCUAUCAGGUAUAUGCCCAUGGGUGUCAUGCAUCAAAAAAACACACAAUUCUUGGGUACAAUUCCAGACAUCUUUGCUCUUAGGCAGGCAUUCUCCCCAUAUUUGUUCAUACUUGCCCUGUGUUAGGAUUUUGUACUACUCCAAUUGGCACCACUGGAGGGCACUAAAAUGUAACAAAAAAUUUAACAAAUAAAAAGUUGCAACCAGCAGCCCCAAAGCCCAUCCUUUAUGGACGGACUCUUUACCUGCCUUAGGGCAGAUAUUCUCAGGCCGUAGUCCAGGGGUCAGCAACCUUUUUCAGCUGUGGGCCGGUCCACCGUCCCUCAGACUAUGUCGUGGGCUGGACUAUAUUUUGAAAAAAAAUAAAAAAUGAACGAAUUCCUAUGCCCCACAAAUAACCCAGAGAUGCAUUUUAAAUAAAAGGACACAUUCUACUCAUGUAAAAACAUGCUUUGCAGGACACCUUUGGGAGAAGAAAAGGCUCACAAAUCUGGAGUGGAGUCCCUAAGACGUUUGGAUGGGUUCUGGUACACCUCCGUCCGGCAACUCCUGCAGCCAUGAAGAUGCGAAACAUAUUACUCUGCUUUCUUUUGGACCACAUCAGCAAAACCAAGAGUGGGGUCUUGUCAUCUGGGCAGCCCGGGACCUCCAGAAGCACUGCCUAGGCUUGCACCCCGGAAAGGCCACAUCAGUGUGCUGCUAACACAGCAAAAACAAAGCGGGAGUUACAAAUUGCCAAUCUCUGCAGCCGCAGCAGGCGCUGUGAUUCUCCAGCAGUUUGGCGUCAUCCCCGGAGAUGCAUUCCAUUGUCUCUUGAGACAGAAGGAUGCCAGCAGACUGGAGAAUGCUUCAAAUAGACUACUGUCAUUGGCAAAGUACAAGGGUACCCUAAAAUAUGGAAGUAAGUGAGUGGGAGGUUAGGAAACAGUCCCUGGUGCAAGAAUAAGAAUUGUUGCAUGUUCCCCAAUCUCUGAGCAGCAAGAGACUCCAGUGAUUCCUGUGCUUUCCAAGGGCCAGGUUUCCUUCGAAUGAAGGCCAACGGAGACUGUGACACCUUUAGGAUAUCUUCUUCUUCUUUCUUCUUUGGUGAUCACUCGUAGCUGAGUAAGAUUGUCUUCCAUAAACACGGUUUUAGCAAAGAGUCCGUAAGUGACUGUAGAGGCCAAUUCUGGAUCCACAUGUCCUUCCACUGUGGGGGCAUAGGUUUCUGGGUGGGAGUUGAUAAUGGUGUGGAUGUGCCAAGCGUGCCUUCCUCUUAGCAUGUUUCUCCACUUGCAAGUGUCUUCAAAGCCCAUGACACCUUUGGUAAAGGCUGUUCUCCAACUGGAGCGCUCGCAGGCCAGUGUUUCCCAACUGUUGGUGUUUAUACUACAUUUUAAAAUAUUUGCCUUGAGUUAGUCUUUAAACCUCUUUUGUUGACCACCAGCAUUACACUUUCCAUUUUUAAGUUUGGAAUAGAGUAGUUGCUUUGGAAGACGAUAAUCAGGCAUCCGUACAACAUGACCAGUCCAGUGAAGUUGAUGUUGAAGAAUCACUGUUUCAACACAGGUGAUCUUUGCUUCUUCCAGUACACUGGUAUUACUGGUAGUUCGCCUGUCUUCCCAAGUGAUGUGUAAAAAUUUUUUGGAGACACCGUUGAUGGAAUCUUUCAAGGAGUUGGAGAUGGCAUUUAAAAGUGGUCCAUGUUUCACAAGCAUACAGUAAGGUUGGUAGUACAAUAGCUUUGUAAACAAGCAUUUUGGUUUCCCUGCGAAUGUCCCGGUCCUCAAACACUCUGCACUUCAAUCGGGAGAAAGCCGCACGUGCAGAGCUCGGGCAAUGCUGGAUUUCAGCAUAAGUGUUGGCCCUUGUGGAAAGAUAACUGCCCAGGUAGGAGAAGUGAUUGACAUUUUCCAACGUUACAGCAUCACUCAUGAUGCACAGAGUUCCUUUAAAGCCACAAAGACCAUCUAUGGGCCAAUAAACCAUGGCAUAUGCCUCCUACGCUCAGCAGACGGUACCACACUUCUAAAAGAUAAAGAAGCUAUUGCACUGUGCUGGAAAGAACAUUACCAACAUCUCCUUAACCGCAACUCCCCUGUAGCCUUUAGGAUAUAUGGUUUUAUUUACAUAUAUAUUCAAUCUGAGCACAGGGUGGAAGGGCUUACAGCAUUAAUACUCCCAUAGAGCUUCUGUCCCCUUUAGGUUUCCAUGAAACACAGCUUUGGGCCCAGCACAGAGCAGAGAUGUCUCUCAGGUUCCAGCAACAGUCCAACUUGCACAUGCAACUCUCACAUGCUCAGCCCCACAUAAUAAUAAUAAUAAUAAUUUAUUUAUUUAUAUCCCGCCCUCCCCAGUCGAAGCCGGGCUCAGAGCGGCUAACAACAGUAAAAUAAUACAGCAUUCUAAAAUCAAUUCAUUAUAAAAUCAGUUCAAAUCAAAUUGAUGGCAACCAUUGGGCUAGAGUUCUGUGAAGAAAUUACCAAAGGAGGGGGUCAGGCUGUGCCUUAGCCAAAGGCCUGGUGGCACAACUUUGUCUUGCAGGCCCUGCGGAAAGAUGUCAAGUCCCGCAGGGCCCUAGUCUCUUGUGACAGAGCAUUCUACCAGAUUGGGGCCACAGCUGAAAAAGCCCUGGCUCUGGUUGAGGCCAGCCUAACCUCUCUGUGGCCCAGGACCUCCAAGAUGUUUUUGUUUGCAGACUGUAAGGUCCUCCAUGGGACAUACCAGGAGAGGCGGUCCCGUAGGUACGUGGGUCCUAGACUGCAUAGGACUUUAAAACCAGCACCUUAAACCUGAUCCUGUACUCCACCAGGAGCCAGUGCAGCUGGUAUAGCACUGGGUGAAUGUGAUCCCGCAGCGAGCACCCCGUAAGGAGUCUCACUGCGGCAUUCUGCACCCGCAUUCUGCACGUAGCCUAUUGUUUCCAGUCAGUUGAGUUGGGAAAGGUCCCAUCAACUUGCCUCUAUGGCAGCCUUAUUUGUGCUUGUAAAUAGCAGUACUCAGCUGCCCAGCUAAGGCCAAAGGAACUCGUUUGACUAGUUCACUAGGUUCCCUUUUACACAUUUUACCUUGACAGAUAUAGGAUUGCAGGUUUGGAAGGGGCCCGGGAUUAUCAUCCAGACUGACCUUACCCCCCCCCAAAAAACCUUAUAGCAGAAUAUUAAAAGCACAGGAAUUCCACAUUUCACCCAUAAAAUUGGCUGGAAGAAGCUGGGCUCAAAAUAUAGCGAAAGUCUGUGUGGGUCGGCCACUUAAGAUUCUCCAUCAAUUGCCUGAGAAUAUUUCUCCCAAGAGACAGUCCAUGACUCAGUAGGAUUGCUCUGUUGGAAGCCUGUGAGAUCCUCGCCUUUCUGUGGUUGUUCUGCUGCCUGCUUCAACAGACACUCGUUUCCAUAACAACCACAUCCAGGCUUUAAAAAUAGUAACUUAUUUUUCAUUCAGCUCGUCUCCUGCCCUUAGGACCAGGUCUAUUUUUGUCCUGGUGGUUUAUUUCAGGUGUCCCUCUCUCUUCUCUCUCAUCCCAAGUGAACUCUGUGGGCCCCCACCUCAUGCUGGGUUCACAAAGGGACAGAGUAUUUCCUUCGUCUAGGGUUUUCACCCAGCCAGAAUGAUUGCACAUCUCGGUGUAUAUUAGCACCAAAGAAAGUCCUAUGGGAUCCAACGGGACUCAGAAUAAAUCUGCUUAUGAUGUAGCCCUUUAUGACCCUUUGUGCUGCUCUGAACUCUGCACAUGCUCAGAGUUGCUCAGCAGAAUCUUUUUUUCCAAAAAAAAUUAUUGAUUUUAACAGAUAAAACAUACAAAAGAAAGAACAUUACAAUACUAAAAGAAAAGAAAAAACAAAAAUAAAAACACACAUUCCUUCUGAAGUUCAUUUUAAAUUCCAUUAUUAACUGACUUCCUCAAAUCCAUCCUAACUGAAUUUCAUUGUAUCACCUUGUAACAGUUUUCCAAAAUCAUCUUUCUACUACAAUUUACUCCUUCAAUUUACUAUCCUCAUCUCUUUUCUUAUUGACUUAAAUCCAUAUUACUAUACAACAUUCUUAUUCUAAUCCUAGGCCUAUUUGAUACUUUCAAGUACCUUCUAAUUAUCUUAUAUUGCAAUAUUUAGCUAGAUAAUCUUUAAAUUUCUUCCAAUCUUCUUGUUGCUCCUCUUCUUUCUGAUUGCGGAUUCUUCCAGUCAGGUGGGCCAGCUCCAAAAUCUCCAACAUCUUCAUCUGCCAUUCUUCUACCGUUGGUAUUUCUUGAGAUUUCCAAUUUUUAGCUAAUAGCAGUCUUGCCGCUGUAGUGGCAUACAAAAAUAUCUUUAUUUUGGGGGGCUAUUCCAAUCCUAUUAUUCAGCAGAAUCUUUCAACAUGAAGAUGGCAGACACACUCUUCUUCCCAGUUUUCCCUCCAAUGUCUUUUCCGCCUGUUUCUUCAGUGUCAUCUGCCAAGGUUUGCGUGGGGGUUCCCACGGUGGGAAUAGCUGGAACCCCAAUGUUUUACUGCUCUGACCAGUUGUCAGACUUUGAGUUAUUGUAAGUUACCAUGUAUAUGUAGGUCAUCGUUUCAAUAAUUCAAUUGCAGAUUUUGAAGCAUUUCUGUAUCCUUCUGCUGUGCUGAAGAAGAAUUCCAUGAAACAGUGGGCAUAUCCAGAAUCAUUGUUCACUACGUCUGUUUGCAGACCACUUCGGCAGCGUUGGACAUCAUAAAACAAAGCUUUACAGCUUGUUUUCUCCAGAAAAGAAUCUGACCCAUUGCUUCUUUCAGAGACUUGCAUAGCCCACAAAGACUUUCAGAGACCUAUAAGACUUAUGUUUAUUUGGUUCUAUGUUUUCAAGAGUGCAUAUUCUGUGACUUUCAGAGAUUUAGAAGAUUUCUGUUUAUUUGGUUUUGCAUAGAGUGCAUAUUUCAUAUAUUUCAUAUUGUUCAAUGUUCUGUAUAGAUUAUAUAAAGAUUAUAUUGACAUCGCAUUGUUGGACUUGGUCAUCGUCUUGCCUUUUGAUAUUACUGAUAUUUGUUUGCAACACAGGGGUUAAUUGUUUGGUUACUUAUUGCUGACCAGUUUUCACUUUCUGCUGCUUGAUAACCAGUACUUAGAUCUGAAAAAUCAGUAAACUCCAGAUGGCUCCAGGUUUCACUCCUUCCUGAGUGGACAGAUCCUGCUCUGACUCCACACCUGCUUGCUGGCUUCCUGUUUCCCUCCUUUCCUUCCUUCACAGGUUCUGUCCUCCUCCUUCUAUGAUUUGCAAGCUUUUACCCUAGCUCCAUCCAGGAACUGCAGGUAUUCAAUACAAUCUUGUCUCUUGACUUCACAGCCCGUGAUAUGACUCCUAGUUCCUGACCCAGCUCCACCUGCACCUUGUCGGUUUCUGACCGGAUUCUGUUCCUGACUUCCCUGCUUCUGAUCUGACCAAGAUGAUCAAGGGUCUGGAAACCAAGCCAUAUGAGGAAUGGUUGAGGGGGUUGGGUGUGUUUAGCCUGGAAAAGAGGAGACCGAGAGAAGAUACGCUGGUUGUUUCAAAUAUCUAAGAAGUAGUCACAUGGAAUACGGAGCAAGAAGGGAGGACCAGAACCAAUGGAUUCAAGUUACAUGAAAGGAGAUUCCAAUGAAACAUUAGAAAGAACUUUCUGAUGGCAAGAGUCCUUUGGAAGGUUGUGGACUCUCCUUCCUUGGAGGUUGUAAAGCAGAGGCUGGAAAUGUAAAGAAAUGUAAAGAAAAGGAGGGGACUUUUUAUCAUAUGUGGUGGGGAUGUAGAGAAAUUCUAAAAAAAUUAGGAAAUGAUAUAUAAUGAAUUGAAAAAAAUGUUUAAAAUGACAUUUGUAAAAAAAUACCAGAAACAUUUUUGUUAGGGAUUGUAGGACAAGACCUGCCAAGGAAAAUUUAUUUCUGUAUGCAACAACAGCGGCAAGAGUCUUGAUAGCACAAGGAUUGAAGAAUGAGGAAAUCCCGACAAUUUCUUACAAUGGCAAGAGAAAUGGAUGAACUAUGCAGAAAUGGCUAAAUUGACAUACAAACUGAGAGAUAAGGACAACUGUGACGUUAAAUAAGAACAGGAACUUUUUACAUAUUACUUAAAAAGACAACAAAAUGAAUUUGACUCCUUGGCAG
rnacentral:lncRNA from 1 species